CUUUCCUACGUUGGCACAGUAAAGAAAAACAAAAGAGAGCUGCCACCUGAAUUUUUCACAACGAAAUCUAGGGAAGUGUAUUCAAGUCGCUUUGGAUUCAAUCGCGGUACUACAUUAGUAUCAUACGUACCGAAGAAGAACAAAACUGUUAUCCUUGUGUCCAGCUUUCAUCACGAUAAAUCUCUUGAUUCAGAAACAGGCGAGAAAAAGAAACCAUCGAUAAUUACAUUUUACAAUUCCACAAAGGGAGUAGUAGACAAUGUUGACAAAAUGUGUGCUACAUUCAGCAUUGCAAGGAAUAUAAAACGUUGGCCUAUGAAUAUAUUCUUCACCAUGUUGAAUGUUGCUGGUAUAAAUUCGCAGAUAAUUUAUCUGGGAAAUGAUUUGAAACCAAUAAAGAGGCGUCUAUUUCUGAAGCAGCUUUCUCACGUACUUACGUUAGAUGAACUUCAAAGACGAAGUGAAAAAACAAUCGGCAUUCCGCUGCAUAUUCAAUCAAAACUGAAAUGAUUUCGUAAUUGUGAAAAUGUAGAAGAAGAUAAAGAGGAAACUUUAGAAGGCGCAUUACAUGCACUACGGAUAGCGGACGACGUAAAGAAAUGACUGCAGCAAGUGUAAACGUGCGUUAUGUAUGGAACAUGCUACUUUUUAUUGUAAUAAAUGCUCAGAAAUUGCUUUCGCCAAUGUUGUAGAGCAAAUGGAAU